GACCUCGGCCGCGCCGCGCGGACCCGGGCCGGCAGGGGCUGGCGCAGCCGCAGGACCCGACUGAAGUCGCCUGCGUGCGCGGCGUCUCCGCAAAGUCCGCGCCCAGGACCUAACUUAGAAUGUGCGGGUGUCUUAGGAGAACAAGCAGCCAGGACGGUCACAGUCCGUGUUUCUGGUGUCGUGCUGAUGACUGAUUGUAGCCUGACAGCAUUUCCUAUCCACAGAAGAACCAAAGGAGCGGAAAUGAUUUUUAUCAUUAAUCACUCAGUAUGGCUCUCUCCCCUCGCCCAACUUUCUCUCUCAUCCGACUUUUUCGCACACAGUGAGAGAGAGAGGCAGAGACACAGGCAGAGGGAGAAGCAGGCUCCAUACACUGGGAGCCCGACGUGGGACUCGAUCCCGGGUCUCCAGGAUCGCGCCCUGGGCCAAAGGCAGGCGCUAAACCGCUGCGCCACCCAGGGAUUCCCCCGUACUGAGAUUUUUAAGAUCAGAGACUCGACUAUGCAUAUUAACUUCCCAGGCGUCAUAAAGGACUCUGAUUUUCUUUGAAUUGUAAAUAUCUAGGAUUUGUGAAUUACAAAUUAAAUAGUUUUUUGAUACCUUGA